rnacentral:piRNA from 1 species
UGCAGCAUUCUUACCAGAGGCCAUUGGGCA